rnacentral:rRNA from 1 species
CGGUUAGGGGAGUGAAAAAGAACCUGAAACCGUACGUCUACAAGCAGUUGAAGUUCUAUGGGCGUCUUCGGACGUCAACGAACGACAGCGUGCCUUUUGCAUAAUGAUGUGGCGAGUUGUCCUACGUAGCAAGGUUAAGCCGAGUGAGGUGAAGCCGAAGGGAAACCGAGUCUUAAAUGGGCGUUUAGUUGCGUGGGGCAGACGCGAAGCGGGAUGAUCUAGCCAUGACCAGGAUGAAGCGCGGGUAAUACCGCGUGGAGGUCCGAACCGGUGAAAGUUGAAAAUUUCUCGGAUGAGUUGUGGCUAGGGGUGAAAGGCCAAUCAAAUCCCGGGAUAGCUCGUUCUCCCCGAAAGAUAUUUAGGUAUCGUCUUCAGAAAUUCUGUCACGGAGGUAGAGCACUGAAAGGGCUAGGGGUCCUACCAGAUUACCAAACCCUAUCAAACUCCGAAUGCCGUGAACUGUUAUCUGUGAAGCAGUCAUGGGUGCUGAGGUCCGAUGACAAAAGGGAAAGAGCCCAGACCGACAGCUAAGGUCCCAAAGUUUUGGCUAAGUA